GAGGAAAAGAAACUAACCAGGAUUCCCUCAGUAAGGGCGACUGAAGCGGGAAGUGCUCAGGAUGUGAAUCUGCGCUUUAAGUAGCGUCGAAUUGUGGUCUGUCGACUGUAUCGUAACUGGCCGGGCCAAGUCCCUUGGAACAGGGCAGCUGAGAGGGUGAGACUCCCGUAGGCCUGGGUAGGUGAGGUACAAGUCAAUGAGUCGAGUUGUUUGGGAUUGCAGCUCAAAGCGGGUGGUAAAUUCCAUCUAAAGCUAAAUAUUGGUGGGAGACCGAUAGCGUACAAGUACCGUGAGGGAAAGAUGCAAAGAACUUUGAAAAGAGAGUUAAAGAGUACCUGAAAUUGCUGAAAGGGAAGCGAAGGAAAUCAGUGUCGGCGUGGUCAUAUUUCCCAUUCCUGUAUGGGAUUGGGCGCUGUGUCCUGCUUUAGUAAUCUUUGGUUGGUUUCGGUGGAAGAGCGCGUACAGAGUUGAUGUAGGUUGCUAGCACCGUGGUUGACUGAGGAGUACGAAAUGGUUUUCUUUACCCCGUCUUGAAACACGG
rnacentral:rRNA from 1 species